GAUGAACGCUGGCGGCGUGCCUAAUACAUGCAAGUCGAGCGAACAGACGAGGAGCUUGCUCCUCUGACGUUAGCGGCGGACGGGUGAGUAACACGUGGAUAACCUACCUAUAAGACUGGGAUAACUUCGGGAAACCGGAGCUAAUACCGGAUAAUAUAUUGAACCGCAUGGUUCAAUAGUGAAAGACGGUUUUGCUGUCACUUAUAGAUGGAUCCGCGCCGCAUUAGCUAGUUGGUAAGGUAACGGCUUACCAAGGCAACGAUGCGUAGCCGACCUGAGAGGGGGAUCGGCCACACUGGAACUGAGACACGGUCCAGACUCCUACGGGAGGGAGCAGUAGGGAAUCUUCCGCAAUGGGCGAAAGCCUGACGGAGCAACGCCGCGUGAGUGAUGAAGGUCUUCGGAUCGUAAAACUCUGUUAUUAGGGAAGAACAAAUGUGUAAGUAACUAUGCACGUCUUGACGGUACCUAAUCAGAAAGCCACGGCUAACUACGUG
rnacentral:rRNA from 1 species